rnacentral:rRNA from 1 species
CUAUGUCCCAAAAGCCAACUGAAGGAUGGCUCGGUUUUGGACGCCGACGAAGGUCGUGGCAAGCUGCGAAAAGCCCGGGCGAGGUGCAUGCAGCCGUAGAACCCGGGAUUGCCUAAUGCGGACUCGUGUCGGCUUCGGCCGGCGAUCCCUAAUGGGAUUGGGAACGCGGGGAACUGAAACAUCUUAGUACCCGUAGGAAAAGAAAGCAACUGCGAUGCCGUUAGUAAAUGCGAUUGAAACCGGCAGAGAGCGUAGCGAACCCGCUGUAGGAAUACAGUGGGGAUGUGCUGUUCAGGUACGACCAACCUUCCUUAGUCCAAGUGUCCUGGAAAGGACCACCAGAGAGGGUGAUAGUCCCGUGGAUCAUGGGAAAAAGGUCGAGUCCUGUACAAAGAGUACCGUUGUCUGAGAUGAUAGCGGGAAUACGGGAGGAUCUCCUCCUAACUCUAAACACGUCCAAAGUCCGAUAGUGGACUAGUAUGGUGACAGAAAGCUGAAAAGUACCCCUACCAGGGGGUUAAAAGAGCCUGAAACCAGUUGGUUACAGCCUGACACGGCGUGAAAGGGCCUUUUCUGAAGGAACAGAUCGAGAGGUCUAAGUACGAAGAAAAGGAGCCAGCGUCGUGUCGUACGUUUUGAAAAACGGGGCAGGGAGUUUAUUUUCGUGGCGAGGUUAACCGUCCAUCGGCGGGAAACCAUAGCGAAAGCAACAAGCCCGCAGACACCUUGUGUGUCCAGGGGCGCCGUGCGAAAGCGCGGGGAGUCACGAGGAUAAGACCCGAAGCCCCUCGAACUACUCGUGGGUAAGGCGAAGCCCCCCGAAAGGGGGGUGGAGGCCUGUUAGCGUUGAUGUGCACAAACUCUCGCGUGACCUGCGAGUAGGGGUGAAAAGCCAAUCGAGAGGGGCGAUAGCUGGUUCCUCCCGAAGUGAGUCUAAGCUCAGCCCGAUCUGAGGUAGGUAGGAAGGUAAAGCACUGAUUGGGAAGUUGAGAGGCGAGAGCCUCGGCUUCCCUGUCAAACUCAGAAUAUCUUACCGCCGUUGAAGAACGGAGUUAGAGUGCCCGGCGUAAGGCCGGUACUCGAGAGGGAAUGAGCCCAUACCGUGGUUAAGGUCCCCAAAUCCUGACUAAGUCACGAAGGUUGUUUCCGACCAUAAACAGUGGGAAGGUUGGCUUAGAAGCAGCCACCCUUUAAAGAGUUCGUAACAGAUCACCCACCUAGGUCGGGAGCGCCCACAAUUCACGGGAGUAAGUUAGGUACCGAGACCUCGGAUCAGUUCCAGUUGGAACUGGUAGUAGGGAGGCGCUCCGCCGGGGCGGAAGCAGGGCCGUGAGGUCCUGUGGACCGGGUGGAGACGAGAAUCCUGCCGGUAGUAGCAGCAAAGCUGGGUUAGAGUCCCAGCCGCCUGAAGAGCAAGGUUUCCCCAGCAAUGUCAAUCAACUGGGGGUUAGCCGGUCCUAAGCCCGUCCUUAGUACGAAACGGGCAAAAGGGAAGCAGGUUAAUAUUCCUGCGCCAUCUUCGAUUAAGCUCGUCCUUGACGUCUAGGGAUAGUUCGAAUACCACCCUCGUGGUAUCGAACCGUUGAAACUUCUCGACCGUAAUGGAUAGACAGAAGUGAAAGCGGGAAAGGCUCCCUGUACUGGGAGUUCGGACGAAUCCUAGGACCCAUGAAAAGAGGAUUGAGUUACUCGUAGGUGACCGUACCCAGAACCGACACAGGUGCUCUCCCGGAGAAAGGGAAGGCGUUUGGGAUAAUCUAGUUCAGGGAAUUCGGCAAUUUGGCCCUGUACCUUCGGAAGAAGGGGUGCCUGACCUGCAAGGGUCAGGUCGCAGUGACCAAGGAAGCUCGACUGUUUAACAAAAACAGAGCUGGCUGCCAGUCCGAAAGGAUUUGUACAGCUGGUGAGGCCUGCCCAGUGCGGGUGUGUUAAGCUCCCUUACAAGGGAGUGAAGCCCCCGUAAACGGCGGCGAUAACUCUGAUCGUCUUAAGGUAGCGUAGUCCCUUGCCGAUUCAAUGUCGGCCUGCAUUAAUGGCUUAACGAGGCUUCCGCUGUCCCGAACUAGAUCCUGGCGAACCCGCCAUUUGGGUGCAUAGGCCCAAGACUCCCAGUGGGAAGGAAAGACCCCGUGGAGCUUUACUGUAGCUUUCUGCUGCGGUGUGGUCCCUCCAGUAGAGUGUAGGUAGGAGCCGUUACACAGGCACCCGCGCCAGCGGGCCGCCGAGGCGUCAAUGGAACACUACCCUGGAGGAACUGCGCCGCUAACCUGUGAGAAAUGACUCGCGGGAACACCGGAAGGUGGACAGUUUGGCUGGGGCGGUACGCCUUCGACAGUUGAUCGAAGGUGCUCAAAGGUCGGCUCAUCCUGGUCGGAAAUCAGGAGUAGAGUGCAAGGGCAAAAGCCGGCUUGACUGGAUUCUAACAAACACGGAAUUCAGGGGCGAAAGCCUGACCUAGCGAACCCCCGGGUCCCUGAGAUGGGGGCCGGGGCUGUCAGAAAAGCUACCCCGGGGAUAAUGGAGUUGUGACGGCCGAAAGCCCGUACUGACGCCGUCGCUUGCUUCGUCGAUGUCGGCUUGCCUCAUCCUGGCCGUGCAGCAGCGGCCAAGGGUAGGGGUGUUCACCCGUUAAAGAGGUACGUUAGCUGGGUUCAGAACGGCGUAAGCCAGUUCGGUCCAUAUCUACUGGGAGUGUCUGUACCUUUGGGUGUCGCCUGAGAGGAAGAGGGGUGAGUACGAAAGGAACACCUCUCUGAGGCCACUGGUCUACCGGUUGUCCGUGAGGGCACUGCCGGGUAGCUACGCCUCACACUGAUAAGAGCUGAAAGCAUCUAAGCUCGAAGUAGCCCUCAAAACCAGGCGACGCUAGGCUCUCCAUAGACGAGGAGUUUGAUAGGCCGGGGGUGUAAGCUGGAAGGCAACGACCAGUUCAGCUCACCGGUACUAAUCGCCGUAUUGGGCCAUAG